AGUGAACGCUGGCGGCGUGCUUAACACAUGCAAGUCGACCGAGAACGGAUUAUAGCUUGCUAUAAUUGUCAGCUAAGUGGCGCACGGGUGAGUAAUGUAUAGGUAAUAUGCCUCUUACUAAUGGAUAACAAUUGGAAACGAUUGCUAAUACCUUAUAUUCCUUUUUAUCAAAAGAUAAAAAGGGAAAGCUUUAUUGGUAAGAGAUUAGCCUGUAUUGUAUCAGUUAGUUGGUGGGGUAAUGGCCGACCAAGACAAUGACGCAUAACGGGUUUGGGAAGAAGAACAGGCACACUUGAACUGAGACACGGUCCAGACUUCUAUGGGAGGCAGCAGUGAGGAAGGUUGCACAAGGGACGAAUGUCUGAUGCGGAAACGCCGCGUGGAGGAUGACACAUUACGGUGCGUAAACUCCUUUUAUAGAAGAAGAUAAUUGCGGUAUUAUAUGAAUAAGCGCCGGCUAACUCCGUGCCAGCAGCCGCCGUAACAC
rnacentral:rRNA from 1 species